rnacentral:rRNA from 1 species
AGAGUUUGAUCAUGGCUCAGAACGUACGCUGGCGGCACGCCUAACACAUGCAAGUCGAACGCAGUAGCAAUACUGAGUGGCAAACGGGUGAGUAUAAUGUGGGAAUCUGCCUUUUGGUUUGGAAUAACACGGGGAAACUUGUGCUAAUACCGAAUAAGCCCUUACGGGGAAAGUUUUAACGCCGAAAGAUGAGCCCGCACUUGAUUAGCUAGUUGGUAAGGUAAAAGCUUACCAAGGCAACGAUCAAUAGCUGUUCUUAGAGGAAGACCAGCCACAUUGGGACUGAGACACGGCCCAGACUCCUACGGGAGGCAGCAGUGGGGAAUCUUGCACAAUGGGGGAAACCCUGAUGCAGCGAUGCCGCGUGAGUGAAGAAGGCCUUUGGGUUGUAAAACUCUUUCGUCGGGGAAGAAAAUGACUGUACCCGAAUAAGAAGGUCCGGCUAACUUCGUGCCAGCAGCCGCGGUAAUACGAAGGGACCUAGCGUAGUUCGGAAUUACUGGGCUUAAAGAGCUCGUAGGUGGUUAAAAAAGUUGAUGGUGAAAUCCCAAGGCUCAACCUUGGAACUGCCAUCAAAACUUUUUAGCUAGAGUGUGAUAGAGGUAAGUGGAAUUUCUAGUGUAGAGGUGAAAUUCGUAGAUAUUAGAAAG